rnacentral:rRNA from 1 species
UACGAAGGGGGCUAGCGUUGUUCGGAAUUACUGGGCGUAAAGCGCACGUAGGCGGAUAUUUAAGUCAGGGGUGAAAUCCCAGAGCUCAACUCUGGAACUGCCUUUGAUACUGGGUAUCUCGAGUAUGGAAGAGGUGAGUGGAAUUCCGAGUGUAGAGGUGAAAUUCGCAGAUAUUCGGAGGAACACCAGUGGCGAAGGCGGCUCACUGGUCCAUUACUGACGCUGAGGUGCGAAAGCGUGGGGAGCAAACAGG